rnacentral:rRNA from 1 species
UUUGACCCUCGAACCACUUCCUGCCAUGGGCAGGUGGUGUAUCCUUUUUGCGACCCCAGGUCAGGCGGGGCCACCCGCUGAGUUUAAGCAUAUC